rnacentral:ncRNA from 2 species
GAUGUUCUUCAGGGAUGGGUGAAAUUCCCAAUCGGCGGUAAAGCCCGCAAGCCAUUUGGCAGAUCCGGUUAAACUCCGGGGCCGACAGUUAAAGUCUGGAUGAAAGAAGAAAUAG